rnacentral:rRNA from 1 species
UUAAGAUAAUAAGGGCGUACGGUGGAUGCCUUGGUGCCAAGAGUCGAAGAAGGACGCGGUCAACUGCGAAAAGCUUCGGGGAGCCGCAAGCAGGCUUUGAUCCGGAGAUAUCCGAAUGGGGCAACCCGGCGGGAGUAAUAUCCCGUCAUCAUAUACUGAAACAAAUAGGUAUAUGAAGACAACCCGCUGAACUGAAACAUCUAAGUAAGCGGAGGAAAAGAAAGAAAAAUCGAUUUCCUCAGUAGCGGCGAGCGAACAGGAAGUAGCCCAAACCGAGGCCUACGGGCUUCGGGGUUGCGGGACCACAAUAUGGUAUUGACAACGGCUAGUCGAACGGUCUGGAAAGACCGAUCAUAGAAGGUAACAAUCCUGUAGGCGAAAGCUGAAGACAGCCUAGUGGUAUCCCAAGUACCGCGGGACACGAGAAACCCCGUGGGAAUCCGGGGGGACCACCCCCCAAGGCUAAAUACUCCUUGGCAACCGAUAGUGAACCAGUACCGUGAGGGAAAGGUGAAAAGCACCCCGGGAGGGGAGUGAAAUAGAACCUGAAACCGUAUGCUUACAAACCGUUAGAGCACUGUAAAUGUGUGAUAGCGUACUUUUUGUAGAACGGACCGGCGAGUUACGUUAUGAAGCGAGGUUAAGCAGGGAUGCGGAGCCGGAGCGAAAGCGAGUCUGAAUAGGGCGGCAAGUUUCAUGACGUAGACCCGAAACCCGGUGAUCUACCCAUGGCCAGGGUGAAGCUCAGGUAAGACUGAGUGGAGGCCCGAACCGACUUACGUUAAAAAGUGAACGGAUGAGCUGUGGGUAGGGGUGAAAUGCCAAUCGAACCGGGAGAUAGCUGGUUCUCCCCGAAAUAGCUUUAGGGCUAGCCUUAGGUAAUGAUUUAUGGCGGUAGAGCACUGUUUUGGCUAGGGGCCUUACCAGGUUACCGAACUUUCACAAACUCCGAAUGCCAUAAAUUUAGCCUGGGAGUCAGACUGUGGGGGAUAAGCUUCAUAGUCGAAAGGGAAACAGCCCAGAUCUACGAUUAAGGUCCCAAAGUGUGUGCUAAGUGGAAAAGGAUGUCGGAGUGCCUAGACAACCAGGAUGUUGGCUUAGAAGCAGCCACCAUUAAAAGAAUGCGUAAUAGCUCACUGGUCGAGUGCACCGGCGCCGAAAAUGUAACGGGGCUCAAGCACACCACCGAAAUCUAGGGAUUGUAGCAAUACAAUCGGUAGGGGAGCGUUCCUAGCUGCUGCGAAGGUAUACCGUAAGGAGUGCUGGAGUGCUAGGAAGUGAGAAUGCCGGUAUGAGUACACGAUAAGGCAGGUGAGAAUCCUGCCCGCCGAAAAUCUAAGGUUUCCUGGGGAAGGCUCGUCCGCCCAGGGUAAGUCGGGACCUAAGCCGAGGCGUAAAGCGUAGGCGAUGGAUAACUGGUUAAGAUUCCAGUACUGACUGAGAUCGUUUGAACGAUGGAGUGACACAGGAAGGUAGGUACAGCGCACCGUUGGUCGAGUGCGUCCAAGUAAGUAGGCGGUGAUUCAGGCAAAUCCGGAUCACAAAACGCUGAGAUACGAUGGGGAGUGAAAAUUAGUAGCGAACUGGCUGAUCCUAAACUGUCGAGAAAAGCUUCUAGUGAGAUCGAAGCCACCCGUACCGCAAACCGACACAGGUAGAUGGGAUGAGAAAUCUAAGGCGCGCGAGAGAACCUUUGUUAAGGAACUCGGCAAAAUGACCCCGUAACUUCGGGAGAAGGGGUGCCCCGGUAGGGUAAGCAUGUUAACUGUGCAAGCCCGAGGGGGCCGCAGAGAAGAGGCCCAAGCAACUGUUUAUCAAAAACACAGGCACCUGCAAAGUCGAAAGACGACGUAUAGGCGCUGACGCCUGCCCGGUGCCGGAAGGUUAAGAGGAGAGGUUAGCGAAAGCGAAGCUUUGAAUUGAAGCCCCGGUAAACGGCGGCCGUAACUAUAACGGUCCUAAGGUAGCGAAAUUCCUUGUCGGGUAAGUUCCGACCCGCACGAAAGGCGUAAUGAUUUGGGCACUGUCU